rnacentral:rRNA from 1 species
GACGAACGCUGGCGGCGUGCUUAACACAUGCAAGUCGAACGCUGAAGGCCCAGCUUGCUGGGUUGGAUGAGUGGCGAACGGGUGAGUAACACGUGAGUAACCUGCCCUCUUCUUUGGGAUAACGGUCGGAAACGGCUGCUAAUACCGGGUAUUCACUGUCCUUCGCAUGGGGGGUGGUGGAAAGGUUUUUUCUGGUGGGGGAUGGGCUCGCGGCCUAUCAGCUUGUUGGUGAGGUAACGGCCCACCAAGGCGACGACGGGUAGCCGGCCUGAGAGGGUGACCGGCCACACUGGGACUGAGACACGGCCCCGACUCCUACUGGAGGCAGCAGUGGGGAAAAUUGCACAAUGGGUGCAAGCCUGAUGCUUGACCCCGCGUGAGGGACGACGGGCUUUAGGUUUUACACUACUGUUCUCAGGGAAGAAGAAAAUUUGUAUGGCCUGCC